UUUUUAUUCUAAUUAUAGGUGAACUGCUCCCAAUACAACAGAAAAGGCUCUGGGAUUACAUGCUCAAAGGAGCUGAAACCAAUAUGUGGCAUAGAUCAUAAAACUUACAGUAAUGAAUGCAUGUUUUGCCUACUGAACCAAAAUAAACGAUUUCAACUCAGAAAACUUCAUGAUAAUAAAUGUCAAAUUGAGUGCACCAAUUAUUCUGCCAUCUGUACUAUGGAACAUUUCCCUCUCUGUGGAUCUGAUGGAAAAGUAUAUUCUAACAAAUGCUCAUUUUGCAAUGAAGUUGUGAAGAGACGUGGUACACUUUUUUUGGCAAAGUAUGGACAGUGCUGAGUCUCCCUGAUGCUCAAGGGCACCAAGUUCCCUUUGGCAGAUUCCACAUAGAGAACCAAUCCCUCUCAGAUGGCUGUGGGGCAAAUAUAUGGAUUUGAUUCUUCAAUAAAAGAUUUUUAGCAGAAA